ACUAAACACCGCAUUGCGGUGGAUCCUUCCGGAGCUCGUUUAAGUUGCGCUACAUUCUUUUCACAAAUAGACGUGCGCUUGCAUGAACAUGUAUGCAUACUUUCAAGUCAAGGUGGACGACUAUGGAUACACGCAUUUUGCUCGCAUCGUUCUGGGUAUUGGAUCCUCAUCGGCAGGGUCGUUUGUAAACACACAUAAGCAAUUAAAUAAAUUCCUUUAUACUAAUGGACUACUAUAAUCAUUUUUAAUACAGUGUUGAAGAACAAAAUAUAAUUCUUAAUAAAAAGUAAUGCAUAAUAUUGCACAACUCGAAAAAGUAAACACGGACAUGGUUAAAUUUGCAUGAAAUCAAAAGGUAAACAUUAUUCAUGUACUUUAGUGGUUUUAUUAUAAUAUGUAGAUUAAUGAAGUACAUGUUUUACGAAAUAAACGAAGUACUGGAUAUUUAUACACAA